rnacentral:rRNA from 1 species
AGCGAACGCUGGCGGCAGGCCUAACACAUGCAAGUCGAACGGACCCUUCGGGGUUAGUGGCGGACGGGUGAGUAACACGUGGGAACGUGCCUUUAGGUUCGGAAUAGCUCCUGGAAACGGGUGGUAAUGCCGAAUGUGCCCUUCGGGGGAAAGAUUUAUCGCCUUUAGAGCGGCCCGCGUCUGAUUAGCUAGUUGGUGAGGUAAUGGCUCACCAAGGCGACGAUCAGUAGCUGGUCUGAGAGGAUGAUCAGCCACAUUGGGACUGAGACACGGCCCAAACUCCUACGGGAGGCAGCAGUGGGGAAUCUUGCGCAAUGGGCGAAAGCCUGACGCAGCCAUGCCGCGUGAAUGAUGAAGGUCUUAGGAUUGUAAAAUUCUUUUACCAGGGACGAUAAUGACGGUACCUGGAGAAAAAGCCCCGGCUAACUUCGUGCCAGCCGCCGCUGUAAAAC